rnacentral:lncRNA from 1 species
UGAAAACAAAAGAAACCCUGGGUUCAAUGUUAGUUACUCGGGAACGAGGAAGAGUAAAAGCCAACAGAAAAUGAACCCUUACUGUUGGUGAACCAUCUUCUGUGAUACUUGCCCUCCUUUCCAGCAGGACAGCUCAGGAUUCUAAAAUCACUACAGCACCCGAAUGUGUUGGAAAUUCCCAGGAUUAAAGACACUGAUAAUCAGAGAUAGAGUACAAAAGCUGUUUGGAUUUGGGUGUCUGGAAAGAGCUGCUGAGAGUUGCGGAAGGGAAUUUUUAUCUUCAGGAUCACUACAUUCUCUGUGAACCUCAGGCAAGUUUUCAAACAAAUAAUACAGUGAAGUUGAGUUCUCAUAUCUGUGGGUGGGGAAUUGCGUGUAUCUCUCUCCACCUCCAGCCUCAUCCCCCCUCCCCCCAGUGAGAAGAAGUUACUCUUGGGUUUGAUUAUUUCAUAACAGAUAAAGAUGCUUUCAUUUAUAGCUAAUAGCUGCAGACUAAAGAAAAUAUGAAUAUUAUUUUCAAUCAGGUAGCCCAGACAUGGGUAAGACCUUAUCCUAUCCUGACUUGGCAACAAAGGUAAGACUAACUUAGCAAGACUAAUAUUUCCCAAUACUAAUGGUUUGCAAGAACUGAGAUGUUGCUUACAAAAAAAUUAACUAGAAUUUGGAUAUUUGUGGUAACUGUGGCAUUCAACUUUAGCCACUUUUAACAUUAUUGCUGUCCAAUGAUUUGAAAAACUGAAUUGUUGGAUCUUUUCUUCUAAUGCAAAACAAUACAUUUUCUUUUGUUUUUAACCAUCGUUUAAAUUCUGCUGCAGGUGUAUCCACUUUACACUCUCCUUGUUUUCAUCAUCCUGUUGCUGAGUUCUCUCCUACAGAAGCAACUGUUUUCCAGUUACAGUACCUGGCAUCCUUCAUAGUUUUUUUUCAAUCAGAAUAAAAACAAACAAUGACUGAAAUGGUUGUUCUUUAUUCCAGAUGCAUAUUUUUGCUUCUCCUCAUCCUGUGUUUGUGCAUUAACUUGUGUGCAGUUUAUAAUUGUGUUGUGUUGUAACAUCUCUCACUUUUGUUUUUAGUUUUCAUCUAGUAGCUACUUCAAAAAUGUUCUGUAUGAUUGACAGUGUGUGGAACAACCUCCAAAUAGAAGUAUUACUUUUAUAAAACUAGAUUUAAUUCAAUACAAUUUGUGACACCUGAUUCAAUUUCCUUUAGUUCACUAGUACUUGUAAACCCACUGUAAUAUUAAUGACAUUAUCUGUCUUGAAUUCACUGACAAUGCGAGUGGCUGUAUCCCAGACCUAUACAUUGUAGACUUGUUUGGAUGGUAUCCAUGCAAGGCAAAUUAUAUUUCUGUUUUGGAGGGGGUGUACGUGUUUCAAAAAUGAUUCAUUCUAAGGGUUUUGUGAAAUUGUGUCUGUGAAAAAUGCAAAGUAUACUUCUGUUAAUUUGGCAAAGAAGUGAAAUUAAAU